GUGUGGACAGUGAAGGUGUGCCCAGUACAGGAGGGUAUGCCAGCAUCUCCAGGAUGGGUGGCCGGUGUGAUAUAUUCCUCCUUCCAGGAGAUCUCCACUUAUGCCACUUUCUAAUAUCCCUAAAAAAAUAGCAACAAUUGAAGGUGGUUGGUAUCAAUAGAGACUGCCCAUCUGGCAAUAAUCGUGGAGCCUUUCUUACACUAUUUUUUUCCCUCAAUAUUUCUAAGGGCAAAUGUUCUAUGUGUGGCAGGUUUCUGUCGAUCUCAUCCCCUACUGCGGGUAGGAAACUCCUUAGACCAAGCAUAACUGACACUGAAUUGUCCUCUGCUUAUUCCAGGGUAAGGAGGACAUCUUGUACAGCAGCAGUGACCAAAAUGAGGGUGAAAGCGGUCUACCAUAGAGUGGAAUAGCUAUAUAAUUCCUGACCUCAUGAUGGGCACUGGAAUGCUUCCACAGCAUUUCUUGGAUCAAAGCAAGUCACAAGACCAGUGCAGACUCCGGGACUGGAAAAAUAGACUCCAACACUUGAUGGGAGGAGCUGCAAAGUCAUGUCACAAAUGAUGAGGAGAGAGCCAAAGGAAGGAUUAGUGGUCCAAAUGUGCAAUCUACCACGGGUAGCCAACAUCAUUCCUAUGUUAGCAAGAAGAAGGCUGAAGAAGGCCCCAUCAAAAUCAGAGAGAAUCAAAGUUCAUUUUGCAAAUUGGCUGGGACCCUCAUAGCCUUAAAAUGGAUGAAGCUGGAAACCAUCAUUCUAAGCAAACUAUCACAAAGACAGAAAACCAAACACCACAUGUUCUCACUCAUAGGUGGGAGUUGAACAAUGACAACACAUGGACACAGGGCGGGGAACAUCAUACACAGGGGCCGGUCGGGGGGUGGCGGACUGGGGGAGGGAUAGCAUUAGGAGAAAUACCUAGUAUAAAUGACGAGUUGAUGGGUGCAGCAAACCAACAUGGCACAUGUAUACCUAUGUAACAAACCUGCAUGUUGUGCACAUGUACCCUAGAACUUAAAGUAUAAUAAAAAUAAAUAAAUAAAUAAAAAUUAAAAUAUAUAUAUAAUUUCUAUUUUUCUGGCAUCUUAUUUCAUUCUGUUGUCUAAUGUGAAGCAAGAUUUCAUGUAAAUGGAAUUGCUGGCCAGACCAAAACAUUCAUGUGUGUGUGGUUCAUGCUAAUUCAACCCAUAUGACUGGAAAAUCUGAGAGAUCCUUAAUUUUCCUACUAUUAGGUGAAAAUUAACAAUUCUUUAAGAAUAUAGAUAAUAAAUUAUUUGCAUAUCAUUGCUCUUGCUUUAGUUUUGUCAAGUGUGACAGACAACUUUUCAUAAAGUACUUCCCCACAUUGGAGAGGGUGGAGAGGAGGACAGCUUCAGUAAUUCAGUGCAUUAAUCCAAUAACAUAGUAUCAUUAACUAAGGUAAAAACACCUUUUCAAUGGAUACCUCUGGAACUCUCCCUUUUGGUGUUAUGUAAUUGUAUUGUAAAUUUAACUAAGAUUUAUUUUUAGAACGUCAGCGUUUUAGCAACCACAUCUAUCAGUCCACCAACUACAAAGUCAAGACUCUUUUUGAAAAAGGCCUCAUGAAUACAAGUUAAGACAGUAGCUAAUGCUUUUAACUAAACAGCAUAAAUACAUAAUGCAAACAAAGACAAUUCUUCAAGAUGCACAUAGAGGGAAAAUAUAACCUUCAAGGUUUAGAAAAUGUCGGGUGCUUUAAAAUUAAAUGGUAUGAGAAAUAUAAAAAGCUAGAGGUAGUCCAGAAAAAUAGGAGAAAUAAACAACAUUUGUUAAAGUAAUUAGAGAUGAUAGUAUUAAUUAAAGUAAUUACAGAUGAUAGUAUUAAUUAAAGUAAUUAGAGAAGAUACUAUUAAUCUUGCAGUCUCCUCUGGCAUAAUAAAUGUGGAUUACAUUCUCUUUGUCUCUUCAGACCAAAACUAUAUAGAGGAGAAAGUAGGACAACUUUAGAAGUUUAUGAGAUGACAUGAAAAUGAGACAUGAAAACAAUCCAGGUAGGUAACUUAACAUCUUGAAGUGUUAGAGCUGAAAAGAUUAAUAGAGAUUAGAUUACAUAAUCCCUCAUUUUAAAGCUGAAGAAACUGAGUUGUUUGCCCAAGUUCGCACAGCUAACAGGUAACUAAUCUACUCCCCAAUAACUGAUUUUACUAUACUUGCCUUAGGGCCUGAUCACAAUUGCUUAGUAAGUUCCCAGUCAUGCUCAUCCAGUUUUUAUGACCUUAUUUUAACAUAUGUGAAAUAUUUUUAAAUUAAUUUCUGAAUAUUUUAGCAUGCUGGAGAAUGAGGGGCUCAUAGCUAGGAUCAAAGACUUCAUUGAAAGAUAUGGUUUGGAUGUGUGUUCCCUCCAAGUCUCAUAUUGAAAUUUUUACCCCCGUGUUGGAGUAGGGCAAUAGUGGAAGGUGGGGGUGAUGGAGGCAGAUCCCUCAUGCUAUUCUCACAGCAAUGAGUGAAUUCUCACUCUAUUAGUUCGUGUGAGAGCUGGUUGUUUAAAGAGCGUGGCGCCUUCUCCUCUUGCUCCUUCUCUCACCAUCUUCCCCCUUUACCUUCCACCAUGAUUGGAAGCUUCCUGAGGCCUCACUGGAAGCUGAGCAGAUGCUGGUGCCAUGCUUGUACAGUCUGCAGAACCAUGAGCCAACUACCCAGUCUCAGGUAUUUUUCUAUAGCAACACAAAAUGGAUUAACACAUUGAACUUCUGACUUAAAUCUCAACUCACCUAAUCACUGGGUUUUUGCAGAUGAGAUAUGGGUAAGUUGGGUUUCUGAAAAAUGUAGGAAGGGCUUCCACUUCUAUAAACAUGUUCAGCUACGUCUCUCUUCUCACCGAAGGUCCAGCACUGCUUCAAACUGGAUAAAUAAGCUACGAUUUCAGGCAAUCACGUGAGUAGAGGAACAUUGAGCUCUUCAUUUCUUUAGAGCAUAAACAGGCAUCAAAAGAGGUUUUUUUUAGAAUCGCUUGAGUUGUUGAUACUCUGAGGACAAAGUGUUGCCCACUAGAAGGAAGGACCAUGGGGAAAAGCAGACCUAAUUAUAUGAGACAUCUCCAACCUUGGCAGCCCCCAUGGCAUAAGUACUUCACUCUCAUAACCCGCAUAAGUACAGUUGUUCUCUGUAGUAAAUAUGUGAUGUAAAUUUGUGGAAAUAGGAAAGGAUGGGAGAAAGAAAGGAUUCAAAAAGGAAGAGGGAAGGGGAGAAAAAUAAAAAGAAAGUAUCAUUUAACAAGAACUUUUGAGUGUUCGUGGGUGGGCAGAGAGGAAGACCUGAGAAUUAAUGGAGAGAAAAAAGAUGUGGCUACAGAUGUAGGAGGUGAGAGGAUUCUAGAAUGAAGAUUAAUGUGAUAAAGAGGACAUUACAUAAUACGUUGGUGGGUUAUAAAUUAGUCCUCUUUGUCAUUAUUUUUAAAAAAUAAGUAAAUAAUGCAAUUAUUUUUAUGACUAUUGCUUGCCUGAUAGUACUUCUUUGUAUCCCACAAGGCCUUGACUUUUAUGGGAUGACAUCACCUGUUGCUUUCUGAGUUUUCAUCAAUUUCUAGAGCUGCAUUUUCUUCCACAAAACCUCUUGUUCUUAGUAAUGGCUGCUCACUCUACCUCUGGCCCUGCCUAUAACUCUGUUGGCUCAUGCUGCCAGAUACCUCUCUGUUGCUGUGGAGAACUGAGGAGUAACAACAUGAUAGUACAGCUUAAAAUAAAUACUAUCAUAGAGAAAAAUAAAAUAAAAUAUAAGGAUCAGGGGAGAAAAUACAUUUGUAGAAACAAAGAAAAUGAGAAGACUAUGAAGUGUUGCUACAAUUAAAAUGUUGAUUCUAAAUCUGUUUGAACUUCAGUUUCUCUUCUUUUUUUCUGAGUGAUCAGAUGGCUCAUAUUCUGAAUGUGUUAGCUUAGGCAUUCAGCUUAGAAUACACGUUGAUUAAUUCUGAAUUAUUCAGCGUUAAUCAGGUAUUGCUUCAAGUUUUCUUCUUUGUGCUUCAUGUCUCCAAAGUCAGAAAGUUGAGCUUAAAUACUUCUGAAUAAAGUAAUUCCUAAAUGAAAUGUGAGUGUGGCUCUACCAAACAGGAGGGGUGUUAGCUAUGCAAGGCUGGGCUGCCAAAGGGCAGUUUGGAAAGAAAAGGAAGCAAUUUCUCAAAAGAUGGAUGGAAUUGAUAUCAGGAUAUAAUCCUGUCUAUUUAAAAUGGUUGUAUACCUAUGUAACAAACCUGCACGUUGUGCACAUGUACCCUAGAACUUAAAGUAUUAUAUAUAUAUAAAAUGGUUUAGAUGACACGGUGCUUAAAGGCAGCAUUGCUGAUGGGCUCUGGGACCAAUACGGUGUUUCCGAGAGCUGCAGAGAGCUAUGGGACUCUGAGUAUUAUGAUAUCCAAGCCUUGGGAUAAUGUUCAGGAAAAAAUGCACAGGGGAAACUGAUAAUGUUUGCUAUUAAUGAUGGGGAUUGGGAAAAUACCUAAUGCAGUGAAAAAAAAAAAAGUGUGAUUUAGGUAUGGGUGGCCCUAUGCCCAAUCCUGAUUCUACCUUUUACCAGCCAUGUGGCUUAUUCCAUCUGAAUAACUAAGCUUUGGUUUUUUAUAUUCAAUUUGGCACCUAGUGGAUAUCCAAAUACUGAUAACUAUUAAUAUGACUUUAAACAUAGGCUUCAGUGCAUAGAGCAAUGGUUUGAAGUCACAUGGUUCUCCCACACUUCUUUGGGGUUGGCCUUUAAUGCAUGAAUGAGCUCACCUGAUUGGAAGGGGACACAGUAUCCUGCAUAAAAACAGGAAUUUCAUCUCCAACUCCUUCUAACUCAAACUAUCCUGUGCCAUAAAGGUUAGAGAUGUGGUAUUGGUGACUCAAAGAUACCAUGGCAACAUGGAGGAGUCCUAGGGAGGAAGGCUUAGCCUCAGAGCUUAGAUGUGGAGACAGGCCUGAGAUCCAACCCUUUUACUUUGUCCCUGCACCAGUGAAAACGGUAGCGAGCUGGGUCAGGAGAAGCCAGUGCUGGUAAUUGUGCAGCCUAUGAAGAAAGUCAGUUUUAUUCUAAGUAUUCAUGCUCUUAUCAGAUUCUAAAGUUGACAGAAUUGGCACGAAAUAAGAUCUGCAUGUUUAUGUCUGAGAAUGUUUCUUCUGGACCUCUAAACCCAUAAAGUCUCUAAAGAUCAGAUUUGACUUUAACUUUUUUUUUCAUUUUGGCCAUGCAGUUUAUCCAGUGGAAUGUGGUAAAAUAUGAACUAAAUUUCAUGGGCCAAAAUAAAUCUCUUUGUUAAAGUUGUGCCAUUUCUAACCUAUUCUUUCCAAAUGACUUUUUUUUUGUUACUUCUUAGUAUUUCUUGGUUGACCAAUUUAUACUUGUCAUCUUAAUCAAAUUUGAUUUAUUUGGUUAUAUUUUUAAAGAGCAGUGUACUCUUUCCAUCACUUCUCCUUCCCCAGAAAUAUUUUUUAAAUGUUUUUCUAAAAAACAAAACAAAAAAAUCUUUACUUUUUACUCCAUCCAUUGGUUCACUCCCUGGGCACCGCUUGUCCAGCCUCCUAUUUAUUUCUUAACAUCUCCCUACCUAUCCCCCCAAUUUUUCCUAAAAAUGCUUUCUUUGGGAAAGGAGCAUCAUCUGCUCAUCAGCUAUAUAAACUGAAAGGCUCGAGUUUCUUCUACUCUACCUUUGCCUUCCUCCUCCACAACCAGAGGUCACUAAGAUCUGUCCAUUUUACUUGCUGAAUGUCCUUUUUUAAAAUAAUGGCAUUAUAGAUACAUAAUUCAUAUACCACAAAAAUCACCCUUUUAAAAUGUAGUCAAGUGGCUCUUAUUAUAUUCACAGAGUUGUGAAACCAUCACCACUCUCUAUUUCCAGAACAUUUUCUUCAUUACCCCAAAAACAAAUCCUGUACCCAUUAACAGUCAGUCCCUGUACCUCUCCCAAGUGCCUAUCAAUUGACUUUUUGUCUCCAGGAUUUGGCUAUUCUGAAUAAUUCAUAUAAAUGAAAUCAUACAAUGUGUGGUCUGUUGUGACUGGCUUCUCUCACUUAGCAUAAUGUUUUCAAGGUUCAUCCACAUAAUAACAUGUAUCAGCUCUUUAUCCCUUUUUAUGGCUGAUAAUAUUCCACUAUAAGGAGGAUAUACCAUAUUGUGUUUAUCCUUCCAAUGGACAUUUAGGUUGUUUCCACUUUGGGCUAUUAUGAAUACUGCUGUUAUAAACGUUCAUAUGCAUGUUUUUGUAUGGAUGUGUUUUCAAUUCUAUUGGGUAGAUACUUAAGGAGUCAGAUUUCUGGAUCACAGGGUACUCCAAGUUUAAUAUUUGAGAAACUGCCAAACAGUUUUCCAAAGUUGCCGUGCCAUUUUACAACCCCACCGGAAGUGUAUGAAGGUUUGACUUGAUGAAUAUUGAAAUUUCUGCACCUUCCCCUCCAUCACACUAUCAAUGCCUUAUUCGGGUCCUCAUCACGUCUAACCUGAAAUAUGACCAUCAACUGAUUGACCUAGCCAUUGCUGCCCAGGCUUCCUGAUCCAUCUUCCCCACUUCCACCAGGGAGCACAAACCUGACCAAAUCACUUCAUGUUAAAGAUCACAGAUAUUUCACAUGGCCAAAAGGACUAAACAUAAUCUGGUGCCAGCUGCUUAGCCUCUGCUUCCUCUCCUUACACCUCACACAUCCUUUAUGCUCAGCUUCUAAGACUCUUCACUUACAAUGAAUUUAUUUGAAUUUUAGGGGCAACGUGAGAAUAUAUAUUUCAGUGGAACCAUGUCCUCUGCCAUCCAUAGCUGUCAUCCAGAAAAUAUUUAUUGAAUACCCACUACUCUAUUAGAAAAUGAUCAUAACUCUCCUCCCUCUUACAUUAUCCAUUAUUUGGACCUGAGGUAAAAUGUUGAAUCGAUCAAAAGUAUUUCUCACAUUUUUGGUCUUUAUUUGAUGGAAAAUGCUCAAUAAAUUGGACAAUUCACUGGACUUGAGCUUAAGAUCUACUAUUGAUUGAUAUUAUUAUUUCAUGUAUUCAAAAAAUACUUACUGAGCACUUAGUAUAUGCCAGAUACUGUUCUAGACACCUGGGAUACAAAAGAGAUAAAAUUUCCUGUUGUCAUGAGCUUUCCUUCUAGAAGGGAAAGACAGGCAAUGAACAAAUAAGUAAAAUACAGCAUUUUAAAUGACAAUAAGUGCUACAGAAAAUGAAAAGCAGGACUGGGGACAAGGACUGCUUGGAGAAGGUUGUAAUUUUAAAUAAAGUGGUCAGGAAAGGCCACACGGACAAGGUGAUGUUGGAGAAAAGAUCUGAAAGAAAUCAAAGUUUGCACCAUGUGGUUAUCUGUGAGAGGCGUCUUCCAGGGAGAGAGGACCCUGAGGCGGGAGGGUGUUUGAUGUGUUCUAGUAACAGCCAGGAGGCUAGUGCCCAUAGAACCACAUGAAUAACAGUAUGUGUUGAAUGAUGAGUCUGAUUGUUUCGUGAUAAAACUGAUAAUUACAUGGAUCCACCUUUUUACAGAGCAGGCAGCCCUAAGACCUCCUCAGAACAGGAAGCUAAGAAGCAGUAGGAGAAGAUCAAACUAGGCUCUGUUGCUGUUUAGUGAACACCAUGACCACUUGGGCUAGAACUUACUCUGAGAGAUGCUUAGAGCCCAGUCAUUUCCCUAACAUUGGUUAUUUUUGUCACUCCCCAUCUGCUAUCUGAAGAAGGGAGAUAUAAAAAGUCCAAGACGCCAAAAGAGGUUGCUUGCUUACUUCAGAAACAGCAGGGAGGCCAGAAGCUGGAAAGGUUUUCCAUCGUUCUAACAGCCACAGGGCAGUGGGGGCUGCUGAUCUGGAGAAGUAGGUGGAAGCAGUGAGGGAAGAAUUGGACUAAAUUCCCAUGUGUCGGGGUCAAAAGGCAAGGAAGAAGAGAUGAGGGCUGGCCAGGGAAGAGGACCACACUCCAGGGUUUGACUGGCAGGUGUUCAUGAGACCUCUGGCAAGUUUUGCGACUAUUUUGCAGGAGGACUGCAGCUCACUGGUUACCAUGCUUGCCCUUCUGAAAUAGAAGCUAUUUCCUGCACUGAAGAAUUUAAUUAUUGAAACCCAGAUUGUCAGAUAAAGUUACUGAUUUGUGCUUCUCCAGAAUAUUCCAGUAAAAGAAAAUAGUGCAUACCACUGCAUUUGUCUUUGCUUUUUUAAGCAUUAUUUUUUAAAGCAAAAAUAAAACAUGCACAUUAUUUCUAAAGUUAAAUUAUACCGGGUUUACGGCAGAGGAAAAAAAAAUCACCUCUUUUUUCCCCACUCCUCUUUGUUGACAUUCACUAUCAUCUCCUUUAGCUAUUUUUUAAAAAUCUGUAUCUCAAAACUUUCAAAUAACACAAUCACACAGCUAUUUUUCCAGUUUUAUAUGUUACCUAUUAAAUUCUCUCUUGCCCUCUUCCUAGUUCUCCAAUUAUCUCUCAUUCUCCUAAAAUAGUUAUAUGACUCUUGGGUUAAAUUGAUUCUCAGUGAUUACUAAUUAUAACGACUUAAAUUUUAUUCCCAGGUAAGUGAUAAUGUCCACUAGCAUCAUCUUUCCUCUUGCAUCACUUUCCCUCAAUCUCUGCCUUACACUCUACUGUUUUUGUUGUGGUUGAUGAGAAUGAUGUUUGUUUUGUUUUGUUUGUUUUUAAAGCUUACAUUUCCCUGUCUUCGAUUCUUUGUGCACACUUUUAUGUCUCAUGGAAAGUUCCUCUCCCACCCUUUCUCAGCCCUCCACUCCUCGGUCCACACAGGUUACUCAGCGUUUCCAUCUUUAACACUACUGUCCUCUGGGAAAUCCUCCUUGACACUCCAGCCUAGGUUAACCUCCUCGGGAUAUGCCAGUUACACUGCACUUCUUUAAAACACUCAUCCUAGCCAUCAGGUUUCAUAAGGAUAGGAUUGUGUUGGUCUCCUUUCUCAGCACCAAAACACUUUUAGACACAUAGUAGACUUUAAAUAAAUAUUUGUGGAAGAAAGGGAAGGAGGGAGAGAAAAGAUGAAUGAAGGAGGAAGGAAAGGGCUCAAAGAGACAGAAAGAGAGAAGGAAAGGGAAAAUGGAUAGACUUACUAUCCAAUUUAGUG
rnacentral:lncRNA from 1 species